rnacentral:rRNA from 1 species
GAUGAACGCUAGCGGCAGGCCUAACACAUGCAAGUCGAGGGGUAGAGGAAGCUUGCUUUCUUGAGACCGGCGCACGGGUGCGUAACGCGUAUGCAAUCUACCUUAUACAGAGGGAUAGCCCAGAGAAAUUUGGAUUAAUACCUCAUAGUAUUAUGAAAUCGCAUGGUUUUAUAAUUAAAGUUCCAACGGUAUAAGAUGAGCAUGCGUCCCAUUAGUUAGUUGGUAAGGUAACGGCUUACCAAGACAAUGAUGGGUAGGGGUCCUGAGAGGGAGAUCCCCCACACUGGUACUGGGACACGGACCAGACUCCUAAGGGAGGCAGCAGUGAGGGAUAUUGGUCAAUGGACGGAAGUCUGAACCAGCCAUGCCGCGUGCAGGAUGACGGUCCUAUGGAUUGUAAACUGCUUUUAUACAGGAAGAAACACUCCCUCGUGAGGGAGCUUGACGGUACUGUAGGAAUAAGGAUCGGCUAACUCCGUGCCAGCCGCCGCCGUAAUAC